AAGUCGUAACAAGGUUUCCGUAGGUGAACCUGCGGAAGGAUCAUUAUUAAAACAAAACAUAUUUAUAAUUUAUUUAUUAUUUAUAUGUUGGUAUUAAUAAAUACACAUAUUUAGAAAUGUCAUUUUUCUUUUUGAAAUUUAAUUUUUAGCAUUUCUAAAUUAUUUAAAAAAUUAAAUAUCAUUAUCGACUGAUUUUAAAAUUUAAUUUUAAAUAAAGUUGAAAAAAAUAUAUAUAAAACGUUUUUGGUCUUACAAAAGAAAAGUCUUAAAAUAACUUUUAACGAUGGAUCUCUUGGCUCCUA
rnacentral:misc_RNA from 1 species